CGGGGCGUAACGAAUCCUGGUAUUGCGCGGCCUUUGGGUAGCCGAGCUCGCCGGUUCGAAUCCGGCCGCCCCGAUCA
rnacentral:tRNA from 1 species